AUCACCCUUCUGCCGGAGGAGCUUUCAUACACAAUGGUUGGCAGACUUUGGCAUUUAUUUUCAUCACUGUUUUUAAGGUGAAUGGCAUUUGUCACAUUCUUUCCUGGUUGGCUUUGAUGUGGGGUGAUUUCCCAUUCCCUAAUGACAGAUGAGGCGCUGGCCAGCUAACACCCAGCACCUCUGGGCAGCUGAGCCACCCCGCCAGGUCUGGUUCCCACAGCUCCUGCUUGUUUAGCCUAUCUGUUUCAGGGACCUUAAUUAAGAUCCUCUUUAAUGAUGGAGAGGAACUUCUCCGGUGAUUACCUCCUCACUUUUACAGCUCUCUCAGGCUCUUUCUCCCUCCCUCCUCCUCCUCGACUCCCACAGUCUCCAGCCCUCGCCCUGAUCGGGCACAGGACACGGCUUCUUGGGAGGGCCUUGGGGGUCCAGGUGGAGAACGUCUUCCCAGACAACCCAGCGACGCCCAAGUGCACCGCAGCAAUCACAUACAAGAGCAUUUUAAAGCCUGUGCCCUAAACAAGUUGUAAAACUAGAGAGUGGCACAGUGCCCGGCAAACAAAGAAACUCAGUAAGUGUUUAUCUGAUGGGUGAAAUGAAUAAAAAGAUUAGUGUACAGGUAAGUAUGGAACACAAAAUAUUGACGUUUGGGGCAGGACGCUUCUGAUUCCUGGACUGGGAGCAGUCUUAGAUCCCCAGCCUCUGGUCAUGAGCUAAGCACGUGUAUCCAUCAAUGCAGAGACGUGGGAUAUGGCCAUGAGGGGUGUGUCUCGGCCAAGGCUGAUGUAGAGGAGAAAGCCUCAGCCCAGACCCUGCAAUCCCUGCUUCUGCUGUAGCUCUGCCCUGACCUCACCUCUCUGGCCUCAGUUUUCUAGUCUGCAAAAUGGGAAUAUUAAUCCCAGUGACACAGGUAAGUCGUGGAGUGGUGAUGAGACCCUGUGUGUAAAAAUUUCUGGCGAGAACCAUUUGAGGCGGAAUCAUGUUAAAGGUGAGCCUUGGCUUUUCCAGCUAGAGGAAGAAGGUGCUGGAUGUUCUAGGACUCCAGGGCCUCAUGGUCCUAGUGGGCCUCCAGCCACCCUCAGUCCUCUCCCUGGCUGGGGCAUCCUGCUCCUCCUCCUUGGCAGAGCCUUGCCUCCUCCUGCCUCCUUCAAGGGAUCCUUUCUGCCUCUACCUCCAGCUGCAAUCCAACACUCACCCUGUCAGUUCUGCCCUUCCGUGGUCUCCCACCUCGCGUGGCCACAGCUGACCUGUCCAAGAAGAGUGCUGCUUUCUUGAAGGAAGUCCUGGAAUCCUAGAAUGAACAUCAAAGCUAGAAAGACAGAGCAGCUCCAUCAGGUCAACCCUUUCGUGGGCAAGGCUGAGAAGAGGCUUUCGAAGGGUAAAGGCCCAAGACCACCCCAUGGUCAGCUGCCAAACUGGGGCUGGAAGGAAGGGCUGCUGGUGCCCCAUUGCAUGCUCUUUCCAGAAGACAUCAUCCAGGGCGGCUUAGACGUACAGGAGGUGGUGGGGGGGAGGUGUGUGUGGCCAAGUGAGAAUCUGACCCCCAGCUCUCACCUAGAGGUAUUGGUGCUGGCUCCAGUCAUGGAGUGGGCAUUCUACCAAGGAUCCCUCCCUCUCUCUGAGCCUCAGUUUCCCAACCUGUAAAGUAAAGGGUUGUAAUGGGGAAACUCUUGGGUUCCCUCUGGCUGGGUCAUUCCCUGGUACCAUGAAGCAGGAGAUAUGGAAGUAGUGGGGUUCCAGAGCCCCUCUACCCCCUUGCCUGUGCCUCCCGCCCUCCCUCACACACACACACACCUGCGCACUGUGCGCUCUGGUUGCCCUCAGUUGGCGAGGCUGACUCGUCCUGGGUGGCUGGUGUGGGGAAUAGGCAUGGGUGUGGUGAGUUGAGGCUGGGAGCCUGGAGUUUUGAGUUCUGCUCCCUGCCUGGACACUCACUGUGGUCUGACUGUGGGAAAACCAUGGGACAGUUCUGAGCCUGUUUCUUUAUUUGUAAAAUUGAGCUAAUAAUUAGCCUCCAACCACCCACCUUCUUGUGGUUGUGGGGCAGAUCUAAGGUGAUCUCCUGCCCUGCUAGCAUGAGGGGUUAUUAUGACUAACCCCAAGAGCGAGUGCGAGGGUGAGGACAUGGAGAGAGGGCAGCCAGAUCAAAGCUCGGAGGACCAAGGGGGCUGGGGGUUGGAACCCACACGGGUAGGACUGAGGUCUCUACGGGGCCGAUUCUGCUGCAGGGCCCGAUGUGGGAAAAGAAGUAGGUGUGAGGAGUGCAGGGAGUCGGGAGGUGGUGAACUGGUUCCUAGAGCAAGGAAGCUGCGAGGUGGUCAGGAGGGAGGCAGAAGACUUAUUGGGGAUUUCCAUGCACUGGACUUUGGUUGUUGAAUGUGCUCAGCAUUUAUGGAUUUGACAGGAUGUUUUCAUCUGUAUCAAGAAGAAUUUAGGGAAGAUGCUCAGAAAGGCUGCCAACCCAUUUCUUUGACUUGCUCAUGGAGCUGAGAUCCUAAUUGCAUGAGUCGGGGCUCAGAGGGUGUGGAGGGACUGCCAGGCCCAGAGCCAGCCUUGCUGUUCCAGUCUUUUGGGUGCUCUUUGCCUCGUGCCAUGUUUUCUAUUUGCCUAGCACCUUCCUUCCCAGGAUCUCAGAGGAGGGGCACUUUGUUAUCUAGGAGACUUUCAACACCCUGGGGAGGAAGGGAGGCAGCAGGGAUCCUUAUCAAGGGUGGAGAACAGGGCUAGGGAGCGGCCUCGCUGGAGGGGCCAUACCGGCUCUGCUCUGUGUCCCACAGGCUGCAGUCUGGAUUUUCUGGGGAAGCGUGAUUUCAGUAUUCAGUCCCAGGACACAGCUGGCCCUGCUAUCUGGUUAUUGCCAGAAAGAAAGACUUCAGAUCAAGUUCUCUACCAGCAAAGCCACUAUUUUUGGUAGUUGUCCUUCGGCUUUUAACGACAGUUAACUAUCAUCCCACACAGGUCUACUCUCAGUUAACUUGGCGUGCGUUUCACAAAUGGUUUAUCUUGGAAGCUACAGCAGGAAGGAGACUUUCCCGACACUUAGAAAAAAUUAGGUCUGGUCAUUCUUUGGCCAUGAGUGAGCCAAGAAGCGACAUUUCAGACUCAAAACUGACAAGAUGUCCAACCUUUCUGCAGUUUGAUACCUGGCUGCUUGUUGGAUCUCACGCAAAGCUUUCUCACCUAGAAUGGCUUCAGUCAAUGUGCCAGUCAUGAGAAGCCACAGUCUCCCAACAUCUGCCUGAAGCCUGGCCUAGAGAAGCUCUCCGCAGAAAGCACCACUGGGGGGAUCUGUAGACUACACCCUCUACCAUUUGCUCGGGCAUGCAUGUAGCUGACUGAACCCCACACUGCUAGCCCCCCAGAUAACUGCAUUCCACAUUAGUCAGAGUUCCAUAAGCCUGGCUGAGAACUGUAAGAAACAAAGCUCAUGACUGUGUCCGCUGCAAAGAUGCCUCUGAGCACAUCGACAGUUGUCUUAGCCCCUGUCGUCUCUGGGAGGGAUUAAGGAGCCAUUUCUUUCUGUUCUCGGGGACAUCAGGAAUGCUUGUGUUUCUCCUGGGCAAGUGGUUUGCUUUAAUCUUGAGGAUCCUGGGAAUGGGGCAGCUGAUCAUGUUUCAUCUUGGCACUGGCUGUUAGAAAUUUUAAAACCAAAUUUGUGGCCCACCCCUCGCAAAUGGAUCAAAGUUUACGGGUCCCCAUAGCUCCUGCUGUCUCCCUGAGCUGCUGUUCGUCUACAAAACCAGCCAAACAUAAACUGUGAGCAAAGCCAAGCACCUACUCUCUGAGGGACGGGAAGGCGAAAAGCAAACCAACGACUACACAGGAAGUCAGGUGGUGCUCGGGGCUGGGAGGAACGAAGCAGAGUCAGGAGGAACAGCCACAGACAGCUUGCUGAGAGGGGAUAUUUGAUCAGAGCCCAAGGAAGAGAGGGAGUAAGUCAGGAGACAAUGAGGGGAGAGCAUUCCAGGCCUGGCUCCCGGGCGAGCUGAGAAUAUAGGGGGACAGCAAGGGGGCAGUGAGGCUGGAGCUGAACGAGUGAUGGGGAGAGUGGUGGGUGACAGGGAGCAGGGACUGGACCUAGUAGGGCCUUGAAGGCCACAGAAAAGACUUGACGUUUUUCUGUAACGAGAAACCUUUGAUGGGUUUGGCCAGAGACGUGACGUGAUCUGAAUUAAGUUUCAGCACAAGCACGGUGACUAUUAGCAGGCAAGGGUGACGCUGGGGAGGAGUUAGGAGGAUGCUGCAGUGGUCCAGACAAGAGCCAGGGAGAGCUUGAACUAUAAUAGUGGCAGUAGAGUAGGUAAGAAGUGGUCAGCAUCUGGAUCUUUCUCCAUACUGUAUCACCUAAGUAGAAGUCUGUUUUGUCUACACUUGUUGCCUGCAUGUCCCUGUCCUUUUCACACACUCACCUCUGUCACUCCCAUGCCCCACCUCUCCAGCAGCUCCUCCUACCUGGAAUCAGGCUCCAUGUAGCCUUCCCGGGCCUCUCUUGCACUGCCUAUACCUUUGAGCUUGGUGCUUCAGGAUUUGUCUUUGUCCUUCUCACUCUCAGAAACUGCUACAUAAUUUGCAAGGCCCAGUGCAAAAGGAAAAUGUGGGCCCCUAAUACAAAAAUUAUGAAGAAAUGGAAGCAGAGCAUUAAACCAAGCAUGGGCCAUUCUGAGCACGGGCUCUGUGUGGUCACACACCCAUGAAGCCGUUUCUUGUCAAUCUGUGUGCUCCCGGGACAAUGUCAUCCAUGUUGGCAUUGACUACCACACACGUUGAUGACUCCCAGAUGCAUCUUCUUUCUUGAGCCCCAGACCCAACUGGUGGCCCAACCUACUGACGUCAACACUUUGUCAUUUUUGCUACUGAGAGCAACACUUUGUCAUUUUUGCAGGCAACUUGAAAGCAAUAUGUUAAAGACUGAACUCAUUUUCUUCCCCCAAACCUGCUUCGCCUUCUGUUUUCUCUAUCUUGAAAAAUAGCGACAUAAUCC